rnacentral:rRNA from 1 species
UGGGGAAUUUUGGACAAUGGGCGCAAGCCUGAUCCAGCCAUGCCGCGUGCGGGAAGAAGGCCUUCGGGUUGUAAACCGCUUUUGUCAGGGAAGAAAUCUUCUGAGUUAAUACCUCGGGAGGAUGACGGUACCUGAAGAAUAAGCACCGGCUAACUACGUGCCAGCAGCCGCGGUAAUACGUAGGGUGCAAGCGUUAAUCGGAAUUACUGGGCGUAAAGCGUGCGCAGGCGGUUUUGUAAGACAGAGGUGAAAUCCCCGGGCUCAACCUGGGAACUGCCUUUGUGACUGCAAGGCUUGAGUGCGGCAGAGGGGGAUGGAAUUCCGCGUGUAGCAGUGAAAUGCGUAGAUAUGCGGAGGAACACCGAUGGCGAAGGCAAUCCCCUGGGCCUGCACUGACGCUCAUGCACGAAAGCGUGGGGAGCAAACGGGAUUAGAUACCCUGGUAGUCCACGCCCUAAACGAUGUCAACUGGUUGUUGGGAAGGUUCCUUCUCAGUAACGUAGCUAACGCGUGAAGUU